GCCGAUGUGGCUCAAUGGUAGAGCAGCGCUUUCGUAAAGCGCGGGUUGGAGGUUCGAUUCCUCUCAUCGGCU
rfam:Omnitrophica WOR_2 bacterium SM23_72 WORSMTZ_1377, whole genome shotgun sequence.